AUUUGUUUUUUUUAAAAAUUUUUUUGGUUUACUGCACUAGGAAGAGAAGAAGGAGAGGAGGAAGGGAAGAAGUGGGAGGACUGGGGUCGCGUAUUGGGGAGGCGGGGGGAUGCGAUCGCUGGGCGAUGGAUCGCCCAUUAGCCGCCACUCAAACAGUGAGGGCAUCCCUGCCAAGUUCAUCCAAGGAUACUAGGCUUCUCAAUAUGGGCCUUCGCCUUGGGCCCAAGACCCAUAUCGUGGACGUAAUCCUAGUAUGGACUUGAGAGUUCAGCUUCCAGUUUCAGAGGUAGCCCGAGUGCCCGACAGUCUUCAGAGUUCAGACUUCAAUCCAUGGCCGUUCAUGAGUUCUUCCAACUCGGUGCGUGGUUCACGGCCAACUCUCAACACUGGGUCGAGUGUUGAAUGUCGCAACCUAAUCCACAUGCACGUAGUCACGUACGUCUUCUCUCCGUCUUUCUUGUCAAUUGGACGUGGAAGUCAUUGUUUCUGACCGAACAAUCUUUUUUAUUGUUGAAUAGUAAUACAAUAAGAAGGGCCAACAUAAA